AUGGCUUCGCGUAGCUCAGCGGAUAGAGCGAUCGCAUAUUAAGCGGGAGGUCAUGAUGGGUUCGAGUCCCUUCGCGCAUA